AAAUUGAAGAGUUUGAUCAUGGCUCAGAUUGAACGCUGGCGGCAGGCCUAACACAUGCAAGUCGAACGGUAGCACAGAGAGCUUGCUCUCGGGUGACGAGUGGCGGACGGGUGAGUAAUGUCUGGGAAACUGCCUGAUGGAGGGGGAUAACUACUGGAAACGGUGGCUAAUACCGCAUAACGUCGCAAGACCAAAGAGGGGGACCUUCGGGCCUCUUGCCAUCAGAUGUGCCCAGAUGGGAUUAGCUUGUUGGUGAGGUAACGGCUCACCAAGGCGACGAUCCCUAGCUGGUCUGAGAGGAUGACCAGCCACACUGGAACUGAGACACGGUCCAGACUCCUACGGGAGGCAGCAGUGGGGAAUAUUGCACAAUGGGCGCAAGCCUGAUGCAGCCAUGCCGCGUGUAUGAAGAAGGCCUUCGGGUUGUAAAGUACUUUCAGCGGGGAGGAAGGUGUUGUGGUUAAUAACCGCAGCAAUUGACGUUACCCGCAGAAGAAGCACCGGCUAACUCCGUGCCAGCAGCCGCGGUAAUACGGAGGGUGCAAGCGUUAAUCGGAAUUACUGGGCGUAAAGCGCACGCAG
rnacentral:rRNA from 1 species